rnacentral:rRNA from 1 species
CAAAAACAUGUCCUUUUGAUAAUGAUUUAAGGUCUGACCUGCCCUAUGAUAUUUAAAUGGCCGCAGUAUAUUGACUGUGCAAAGGUAGCAUAAUAAUUAGUUCUUUGAUUGAGAGCUUGUAUGAACGGUUUGAUGAGAUAUUGACUGUCUAAUAGUUAAUUUUAGAAUUUUAUUUUUCAGUGAAAAAGCUGAAAUUUGGUACAAAGACGAGAAGACCCUAUAGAGUUUUAUAUAACUUGAAUUUUAAAUUAUUAGGUUAUUAUUUAUUUGAAGUUUAAUUUUUAAUUUGUUGGGGUGAUAAAAAAAUUUAAUUAACUUUUUUUCGUAUUUUACAUUUUUAAAUGAAUUCUUGAUCCUUUAGAAAGAUUAUAAGAUUAAAUUACCUUAGGGAUAACAGCGUUAUUUUUUCUGAGAGUUCUUAUUGAUGAAGAAGUUUGCGACCUCGAUGUUGGAUUAAAAUUAAUUUUUGGUGCAGUAGCCAAUAGGUUAGGUCUGUUCGACCUUUAA